rnacentral:rRNA from 1 species
AUUGAACGCUGGCGGUAUGCUUAACACAUGCAAGUCGAACGGCAGCAUGGUGUGUAGCAAUACACACUGAUGGCGAGUGGCGGACGGGUGAGAAACGCGUAGGAAUCUGCCUUAUAGAGGGGGACAACUAGAGGAAACUCUAGCUAAUACCGCGUAAAGUCGAGAGACCAAAGGCUGGGUAGCAAUACCUGGCGCUGUAAGAGGAGCCUGCGUCCGAUUAGCUAGUUGGUAGGGUAAAGGCCUACCAAGGCGAUGAUCGGUAGCUGGUCUGAGAGGAUGAUCAGUCACACUGGAACUGAGACACGGUCCAGACUCCUACGGGAGGCAGCAGUGGGGAAUAUUGGACAAUGGGCGAAAGCCUGAUCCAGCCAUGCCGCGUGUGUGAAGAAGGUCUUCGGAUUGUAAAGCACUUUAAGUCGGGAGGAAGGGCUGUAGGCUAAUACCUUGCAGUUUUGACGUUACCGACAGAAUAAGCACCGGCUAACUUCGUGCCAGCAGCCGCCGUAAAAC